rnacentral:rRNA from 1 species
GAUUGUAGAGCACUGGAUGGGCUAGGGGGUAGCGAUACUUACCAAACCUAACCAAACUCCGAAUACCGAGGAGUACAAUCAUGGGAGACAGACCUUGGAUGCUAACGUCCAUGGUCAAGAGGGAUACAACCCAGACCGUCAGCUAAGGUCCCCAAGUGUAUGUUAAGUGGUAAACGAAGUGGAAAGGCAAUAACAGCCAGGAGGUUAGCUUAGAAGCAGCUAUCCUUUAAAGAAAGCGUAAUAGCUCACUGGUCGAGUCGGUCUGCGCGGAAGAUAUAACGGGGCUAAACAUACCACCGAAGCUACGGGUGCAUUUAUGCACGGUAGGAGAGCGUUCUGUAAGCCUGCGAAGCGAUACUGUAAGGAGUCGUGGAGGUAUCAGCAGUGAGAAUGUUGGCAUAAGUAGCGAUAAAACGGGUGAAAAACCCGUUCACCGAAAACCCAAGGAUUCUUGCACCAUGCUAAUCAGGGCAGGGUUAGUCGGCCCCUAAGGCGAGGCAGAAAUGCGUAGUCGAUGGGAAACAGGUUAAUAUUCCUGUACCGAUUUUAGAUGCGAUGGGGGGACGGAGAAAGGUAGCUGAUCCGGGCGUUUGGUUGUCCCGGUUCAAGUAUGUAGGCUGAGAGCUUUGGCAAAUCCGGGCUCUCAUAUAGGCUGAGAUACGAUGACGUGCUCUUACUUAGGUUCGAGCGAAGUCAGUGAUCCUAUGCUUCCAAGAAAAUCCUCUAAGCUUCAGUCUAAAAUUGACCGUACCGUAAACCGACACAGGUAGGCGAGGCGAG